AACUAAUGAAGAGCCUAAACUGCAGGAUAUAAAAGAGCACUAAACUAAACCUGGAAAAGCCCACAAUUUUCCACCACUUUGGAUGCUGUAAGAAGAAUUUGCUCAAUAAAUGCUAAAUACAG